rnacentral:rRNA from 1 species
AUGAAGAACUAUUUCGUGGAGAAUCCCACAUACCCGGAGUCGUAUUUUCAUCGCCGGUUUAGGAUGAGCACCGACUUGUUCAGGCGCAUUGCAGAGAAACUAGCGAGCCAUGACCGGUUUUUCCAGCAAAGGAGGAAUGCCGCCGGAGAGCUCGGGCAUAGCACCUUUCUGAAGGUGACAGCCGCUUUGCGUAUGUUGGCAUACGGUAUCCCGACUGAUCUAGUUGAUGAUCACUUAGCUAUAGGUGAGAGCCAAGCCAUCAUGUGUGUCAAGUGCUUUGCAGUGGGAAUUGUGCAAGCGUUUUAUUGCCUCCUAUCAUGCCAUUCGGCGUCCCGCAACGCACAAUGA